UUGCACAAUGGGCGCAAGCUGUAUGCAGCGACGCCGCGUGGGGGAUGACGGCCUUCGGGUUGUAAACCUCUUUCAGUAGGGACGAAGCGCAAGUUACGGUACCUACAGAAGAAGGACCGGCCAACUACGUGCCAGCAGCCGCGGUAAUACGUAGGGGUCCGAGCGUUGUCCGGAAUUACUGGGCGUAAAGAGCUCGUAGGUGGUUUGUCGCGUUGUUCGUGAAAACCGGGGGCUUAACCCUCGGCGUGCGGGCGAUACGGGCAGACUGGAGUACUGCAGGGGAGACUGGAAUUCCUGGUGUAGCGGUGGAAUGCGCAGAUAUCAGGAGGAACACCGGUGGCGAAGGCGGGUCUCUGGGCAGUAACUGACGCUGAGGAGCGAAAGCGUGGGGAGCGAACAGGAUUAGAUACCCUGGUAGUCCACGCCGUAAACGGUGGGUACUAGGUGUGGGUUUCCUUCCUUGGGAUCCGUGCCGUAGCUAACGCAUUAAGUACCCCGCCUGGGGAGUACGGCCGCAAGGCUAAAACUCAAAGGAAUUGACGGGGGCCCGCACAAGCGGCGGAGCAUGUGGAUUAAUUCGAUGCAACGCGAAGAACCUUACCUGGGUUUGACAUGCACAGGACGUCGGCAGAGAUGUCGGUUCCCUUGUGGCCUGUGUGCAGGUGGUGCAUGGCUGUCGUCAGCUCGUGUCGUGAGAUGUUGGGUUAAGUCCCGCAACGAGCGCAACCCUUGUCUCAUGUUGCCAGCACGUUAUGGUGGGGACUCGUGAGAGACUGCCGGGGUCAACUCGGAGGAAGGUGGGGAUGACGUCAAGUCAUCAUGCCCCUUAUGUCCAGGGCUUCACACAUGCUACAAUGGCCGGUACAAAGGGCUGCGAUGCCGUGAGGUGGAGCGAAUCCUUUCAAAGCCGGUCUCAGUUCGGAUCGGGGUCUGCAACUCGACCCCGUGAAGUCGGAGUCGCU
rnacentral:rRNA from 1 species